rnacentral:rRNA from 1 species
GACGAACGCUGGCGGCGUGCUUAACACAUGCAAGUCGAGCGGUAAGGCUCUUUCGGGAGUACACGAGCGGCGAACGGGUGAGUAACACGUGAACAAUCUGCCCUUCUCUUUGGAAUAAGCGUUGGAAACGACGUCUAAUGCCGAAUAUGACUCUGGAACGCAUGUUCUGGGGUGGAAAGCUCCGGCGGAGAAGGAUGAGUUCGCGGCCUAUCAGCUUGUUGGUGGGGUAAUGGCCCACCAAGGCGACGACGGGUAGCCGGCCUGAGAGGGUGACCGGCCACACUGGGACUGAGACACGGCCCAGACUCCUACGGGAGGCAGCAGUGGGGAAUAUUGGACAAUGGGCGAAAGCCUGAUCCAGCAACGCCGCGUGAGGGAUGACGGCCUUCGGGUUGUAAACCUCUUUCAGCACCGACGAAGCGAGAGUGACGGUAGGUGCAGAAGAAGGACCGGCCAACUACGUGCCAGCAGCCGCAGUAACAC